GUGGUGGUCCACGCCUCCCAUUUUUACCCUUUAAGUUUUGUUGACACUCAACGAUUGCAAAUAAUUUCAUUUGGUCUUGAGAUUUAUUAAAAUGCUCAGAUUCCUGCUGACUUUCGGAGCAGGAGUUUAUGCCGGAGUUUAUAUUAGCCAAAAUUAUGAGGUUCCAAGAGUAGACGAACCAGCAAAAUUAUGGGAGAAAGUCAAAGGAUGGGCGGAUCAGCAUAAAAAGGACAAAUAAAGCAGUACUAGUUUUAAAAUUAUUGAAGACCUUGAGAAAUGCACAGCUAGCACCUCGAAAGAGCAGAGGACUUAAAAUGAUUAAUUUAAAAUUUCUAUUAUUUUAAAAUACUGAAAAAUGAUUUUUGGUUCUUUAUUUCAAACUUAUGUUAAAAUCUCUUUGAGAUUCGAAAAAAAUGUGUAAUCAAGAUAAGUGAGAAUAAAUGAUAAAUAUUUGUAUAUUAAAA